rnacentral:rRNA from 1 species
AUUGAACGCUGGCGGCGUGCCUAACACAUGCAAGUCGAGCGGUAACAGGUGUAGCAAUACAUGCUGACGAGCGGCGGACGGGUGAGUAACGCUUGGGAAUCUGCCUAUUAGUGGGGGACAACCCGGGGAAACUCGGGCUAAUACCGCAUACGCUCUACGGAGGAAAGCCGGGGACCGCAAGGCCUGGCGCCAAUAGAUGAGCCCAAGUCGGAUUAGCUAGUUGGUAGGGUAANGGCCUACCAAGGCGACGAUCCGUAACUGGUCUGAGAGGACGACCAGUCACACCGGAACUGAGGCACGGUCCGGACUCCUACGGGAGGCAGCAGUGGGGAAUAUUGGACAAUGGGCGAAAGCCUGAUCCAGCGACGCCGCGUGGGUGAAGAAGGCCUGCGGGUUGUAAAGCCCUUCAGUGGGGAAGAAAAGCCUCGACCUAACACGUCGGGGUCUUGACGUAACCAUAGAAGAAGCACCGCUAACUCUGUGCCAGCAGCCGCCGCAGUAA